UUUUGGCCCAAACACCCUUGGGAGAAAACAGGAAGACUGGCAGAAGCGAUCCGGUGUUGUGAUAAGAAUCUCCAUCAGAUGCGGCGUGUGUCUUUGAAGAUGACACGGUUAUAAACACUGAGAUGGUAAGACGGGGCAUGUCUCAGCUGAUAGCAUCACUCUGCUCACUGAGCGACUGUGUCAGAUGCUCCUCAGAUACAACACCAAAGGAUUUCCUCCUCCUUCCUCCUUGCUGCUCUGUUAUGUAAUGCGCUCGCAUCAGUUGUAAGUGCGGAGCGCCUCGAGCCAAAUGAAUGUGCUCUAAACAAGCUUCAUCCUCAUCAAUAAUGGAUUCACGCCGCAAAAGUGUCAGCCGUCCCUGCUCUUCAGGACCACUCAGCCUAACGCGACGUCCCACAAGAACAGUUAUGCAAGACCGGGCGCAGGUUGAAAACCUUCUACGAGCUUUAAAUGUUUGAAUGUGGACACAGAGCUGCUGUGUGUCUGCAGCUGUGGACGCGUGACAGCACACAGCCUUCCACCUCUUCAUCCGGACUCUGCGUCAUUUUGCCUUCUUGUAUUUCCUUUUCUCGCUGUUCUGUUUACCCAAGCAUGCCAGCACGAUAGCGUGUUGGUAGACUGUAGGUGUGAAGCAAAGCUUUGCCGAGACGUGUACUCACCACCAGAGGGCAGUGUUAAAAACGUGAAACGACCAGAGAUGUGGAUUGCUCUUAUUUCCGUGUAAGCUGUUGUGGAUCGUUUAGCUUAUUAUUCUGCAGUCUUUGUAAACACUGCAUGGUAUUUGCAUUUGCUUCUAUUUGUUUGAGACGCCUUUGGCCCUCUUUGUGCUUAUUUUAUAUCUCUUUGUCUUCAUUUUGCAUCUUUUUGUGCCAAUUUGUUUUUUUUUUGUGGUCAAUUUGUCUCUCUGUGGGAUGAUUUUAAUCUCCUUUUGGUCGUUUUGUGUUUCUUUCUGACACUCUUUGUGGUCAUUUUUCAUCUUUUGUGGUCAUUUUUCAUUUCUCUGCAGUCAAAUUUUGUCUCUUUGUGUUCAUUUUUUGUCUUUUUGUGUUAUUUUGUUUUUCAUUGUGCUCAUUUUUCAUUUCUCUGUAGUCAGCUUGUAUCUCUGUGUUCAUUUUUUGUCUUUUUGUGUCAUUUGAUAUUUCUUUGUGGUCAUUGUGUGUCUCUUUGUCAUCAUUUUGUGUCUCUUUGUAGUCAUUUUUCAUCAUUUUGUUUUCGUUUUGUGUGCUCAGGCAUGUCCCCUUGGCUCCACCUCUGUGUGGAUAAUUCAGUAAAAUGCCACAGAUGAACCAGUCUUGUCUUCAGAAUAGUUUGCACAAUGGUGGACCCCUAUCAGACCCUCUGCAGACAUGCCUACUCGGACCCUCAGUCUUCCUGCCAGGCCCGGGCCCUGACAUUUUGAUUGAGCACACAAGGUCGAUGGCGGUAACAAGCCACAGCUGAGAUGUCGCUGCUGAUUUGGGCUUCGUCUGGCACCCUGUGACUUUCACUCAGCGAGGGGGGGGGGCAGCUGGGGCAUUCUUAUCCCCGUCAUUACUCUCAGUCCGCUGGCCGGGACGCUGACCUUUCAGGCAAUGCUGUGCUGGAAGUAAAUGGCGAUUAGCGCUGUUGUAGCGAGCAGGAAUGUGAAAGCGAUGUUCUGGCAGGUGUGAGCUGAGCCUGCAGGUUGCUAAGCACAAUGAGAGUCUCGGGCAGGUGUAGCAUUACGUAAUAAAACCUAAUGCUGGAUUCUUGCUGACUGCAGUCUCUUAAAAUAGUGACUCUGCACCAAAUCUGAUCAGUUCUUGUCAGAGACAAAGAAGGGAGGGAGCGAAGUACACUUUACUGUGCGUUUGAACCACUGAACACACUAAACAGGAAAUAAUCUGCAAUGGUGGGGGAGAUGGUACUCAGUUUGUAAUUUUUCAAGUAUACACAUAUUUGUGCAAAUUUAGAUGAUUUUAAACAUCAAGACAGACUCGGUCAUACAGAAAAUACGCCAGCAUCACACCUCGAGAUGUGACACCGCAGCCAGCCUGCUUUCAGGAGCUUUUUACGGUCCAUUUUUAUCUCAGUUUGGCCUUAAAACACAUUUUUAAUCUGUUCUAAACUGGUGGUUUAGACCAACCACUGCUCUAUAAUCUAGAUAAAGUUCUGCAGAUGUUUGUGAUUGUGCAGAUGUUGGCACUGGACAAGAGUUUUGGGUCAGGAAGCUCUCUGGGUUACAUGUUUGAGCGGGCUUUGUUAGCUUAUAGUUAGUGUGGAGAGCAAAAGAAAUACACCCAACAAGCAUCUGAUAACAUCUUAGUCCAUUAUUAGCUUGUUCUCAGUAUUUGUAAACAGAGGAAUAAGAUAA